GAUUAACGCUAGCGGCAGGCCUAAUACAUGCAAGUUGUACGGGAUUAUUGGUAGCAAUACUGAUAUGAGAGUAGCGCACGGGUGCGUAACACGUAUGCAACCUACCUUUAACUGGGGAAUAGCCUUCCGAAAGGAAGAUUAAUACCGCAUAACAUUGCGAAACGACAUCGUUUUGCAAUUAAACCUACGGGGGUUAGAGAUGGGCAUGCGUCCGAUUAGCUAGUUGGCGGGGUAANAGCCCACCAAGGCAACGAUCGGUAGGGGGUCUGAGAGG
rnacentral:rRNA from 1 species